GCGGGGCGGAGAAACGGCGGCGGCGGCGGCGGCAUCGGCAGCAGUAGCAGAGGCUGUAGCAUCGGACACCCUCCUCUCUCCCGCAAUCCGGUUCCUCUUCCCCCUCCUUCUCACUGUUUGUUGUGUGUUUGAUGUGUUAAAGCAGGAGCGAGAACCCGAGCAGCGCCAUGAGCAACACUACCGUCGUCCCCAGCACUGCAGGUCCGGGCCCCAGCGGCGGGCCCGGUGGCGGAGGUGGUGGUGGCGGCGGAGGCGGCGGCACCGAGGUAAUCCAGGUGACUAAUGUCUCCCCGAGCGCUAGCUCUGAGCAGAUGCGGACUCUCUUCGGUUUCCUAGGCAAGAUCGACGAACUGCGCCUCUUCCCGCCGGAUGAUUCGCCUUUGCCAGUCUCAUCUCGUGUCUGCUUUGUUAAGUUCCAUGAUCCAGACUCAGCAGUUGUGGCACAGCAUCUGACAAACACUGUAUUCGUUGACAGAGCUUUGAUAGUCGUACCAUAUGCAGAAGGAGUUAUUCCUGAUGAAGCUAAAGCUUUGUCUCUGUUGGCACCAGCUAAUGCAGUGGCAGGUCUUCUGCCUGGUGGUGGACUCCUGCCUACUCCUAACCCACUUACCCAGAUUGGCGCUGUUCCACUGGCUGCUUUGGGGGCUCCUACUCUUGAUCCUGCCCUUGCUGCACUUGGGCUUCCUGGAGCAAACUUGAACUCUCAGUCUCUUGCUGCAGAUCAGUUGCUGAAGCUUAUGAGUACUGUUGAUCCCAAGUUGAAUCAUGUAGCUGCUGGUCUCGUUUCACC
rnacentral:lncRNA from 1 species